UGAAGAUUUUAUUUUAAAAACCAGUGGGAAAGAGUGGGGUUUUUUUUUUUUUUUUUUUUUUUGGUAUGUCUGCAUCAUUCAGGCAGUACAUCUGAAUUGAGCUGAAUGUAGACAAAUAAAGAAAAAACAAAAUUCUGCGCCCGUCGUAGCCCUGGGUGUCUGGCCCACCUGCAGCAGGAUGGGCAGGGUGCUGCCACCCUGUUCCCAGCACAGGAAGGCAGGGUGUGGGGGCAGUGCAGCUCCUGGUCACUAGAGAGGUCCAGGGCCAGCGACCCAGUGUCCUGGGAGCUUGGAGACCUAGUGCUGCAGCGACCCCGCAACCUCCGUUCUCCCGAUGGCCUGCAGGGCAGCUUCCAGAGGCCCACACUGCUGUUUGGGUUUUGCUCACACAUAAUUGGGCAGGGUUUAUUUUCUACUCUAUGCAUUCUAAUAGAGUUUUUAAGUGCAAUUUCAAAUCACUGUGGAGUAAGGUGAUUCCCGUACGUCAGUACACAUAGCCGACUUUGAAGAAGCCCAGCUGAAUCUGGCUGAAGGUUCCCAAGAUCUGGGGAAUGCAGCCCCAGAACCAUCGCUGCAAGCAGGGCACUUCAUGUCUCCAGCAGCCCCUGCCUGGGGCCUGUCCCACUGAGUACACUUUUGGGAUGCCUCUCCAUCUUGGGCAUUUGCAGUGUUUGGGAGACAUUUGUCACCUAGGGGUUAUCAAUGUGCAGAUGGAGGAGUGGCCACCCCCCUCCCCAAGCAGCCCUUCUCAACUCCGGCCCUGCCCCAGGGAGAGAGUGGUGUUACCUGCCUGUCUGGAAGGAGCUCCUCGGUGAGGCCUGGGACUGCCUGUCUGCAGAAACCCAUCUAGUCUUGCCUCUCCACUCUUAGACCGUGUACUGUUCAUGUUCUGAGCCCCAGGUGGCAGCCUGGCCUCCCACGCUUGGUUAACCUUGGCCAUUGGAAGAAGUGUGAACCAUUCUUGAUGCAGAGGCACUCAACUGAGGCAGAAACCAUCCAGCAUGCCUUCAGAGGAUAAAGAUUUGCCUCCUUGGGGAGGUGAAGGAAAGGUGAUUGCACUAAAAAAAAACAUAAGAAUUUUGUCAACUGCCAGAGCAGAGGCGGCUCUGGAUAUCAAAUGGUCCAGCUUGGGGAAUGGGGCCUGAAGUGCCCUGGUAUCCCUUCAGUAUAUGUGCUAGUGGAGAUCGAUGCAGGGGCUCCACCGAGAGAGACCCACAACGAGAUCCCUGGGAUCCUGUGCUUGAGAUGAUAAAGGUGUGGGCAGAAGCUGUGUCACUCAGAAGUCCGUGGAGAGGAACACUCCUGUGCCGCCUGCCACAUGACUUUAGCUCUGGACCUGCAUUCUCCACACAGGUUUCACCAUGGGUUUCCCAACAGCAUCCGCCGCCACCAUUCACAUUUCUGGAUGCUGACACCACAAGGGACACCAUCUCAAGAUCAAAGAAAGCAGCGGAGGAAGAUGUCCCUGUGGUGACAACGUCUUCACGGACUUGGGACUUGCUGCCAUGGCCUUCUCUUGGGGGAAGGGCUGGGGCCCAGGUGGCUUAUCUUUGAUGGAGGCCUGACCGAGUCCCUCCCACCAUCAGGACAAGUUUAUUGGGAAGAAGCAGGAUUGCCGUCUUGCCGCCUCCAGCUCCUGGUGGCUCCAGGCAUCCCUUGGUUUGUGACAGCAUAAUGCCAGUCUCCGCCUGUGUCUUCACAUGAACUUUUCCUGUGAGUCUUUGUGUAAGGAUAACGGUCACUGGAUUUGGGCGCACCCUGGUCUAGGAUGCAUUCUUGCCAUGAUCCUUUUUGAAAAAAAAUCUAAAAAGAUAUGUUCCCAGAUCCCUCGUCACCCUGACUCUGCUCAGGGACCUUGGUGGCGGUGAUGCAGCUGACCAUGGACAGUAUCCCAGCCCUUGGGACCUACCACCGCAGGAAGCUGGAUUCAGCAAGAUGUGGCUACACCUUAGCAUGGAGAAGGCCUUGCUGCUCACACCUCACCUCUUCAGAGCUGAUCCAAGCUUACCCAGGCCUGUUGCCCUCUAAGCCUUGGAGGCCAGUGUGGAGGAGGUGGUCUCCAGCUCCUCCUCAGCCAUGGCCAUGGUAGGCAACAGCUGGCUUAUGGAGAGACACGUUGGCCCAUGUGUUGCUGGAGGAUGGUGUCGUGUCCUUGAGUCACCAGCAGACAGCACCAGGAGCCUCAGCACAAGGAUCGAUUGGUGGCCCACACCUUUAGCAAGUUGAUCAGGACAGGGUACUUGGUUGGAUAGGCCGUGGGGGUCAAUGACCUGGGACCAGACACCACCCUGAAGGGUGUUUUUGGAGGGAAGGUAGGAAGGGAGAAAGUAUUAUGACUUAAUGCCUCAUGGUGGUAAGAGAUGAUGUCACAGGGAAGGACAGGGCCUUGCCAGGAAUUUGAACUGGUCACAGGGUGUAAGUACUGGGGACUAGUGACCUCCGACGAAAGAGGGCCUUUAGUAGCAAUGGUGGAGACAAAAAUCGGGGACAUACGCCUCUCUAGAUUUGCAGUCACCGGGGCCCUGGUUGUGCCUAGGUGCAGUCUGAGCUGCCCGACUACCCUCUACCCUAACAGGGAGACAUUCAUUUGUUCUCUCUGACCAUUAGCCCGUUCUGGUGUAAUCAGCUGGGCUGUCCAGCCUCAGGAUUCGGUGUCCAGGUGUGAGCCUUAUGGGGCUCUUCCUUCCCUUCACAGGCCUGUUCUAAAACCUCUGGACACAAUUUUGUGCAGCAAUGCAGCACACAUUUUUGGCUGAAAUGCUCAUUCUAACCCACUCCAGAAUAAAUGAAAAUUUACUGUGCUCA